rnacentral:rRNA from 1 species
GUCGAGGGGCAUCAGGGGUAGCAAUACCCGCUGGCGACCGGCGUACGGGUGCGUAACACGUGUGUAACCUACCUUCAACAGAUGGAUAACCCGUUGAAAGACGGACUAAUACAUCAUAACACAGGGGUACCGCAUGGUAAUAUUUGUUAAAGAUUAAUCGGUUGAAGAUGGGCACGCGCAACAUUAGAUAGUUGGUAAGGUAACGGCUUACCAAGUCAGCGAUGUUUAGGGGUUCUGAGAGGAAGGUCCCCCACACUGGAACUGAGACACGGUCCAGACUCCUACGGGAGGCAGCAGUGAGGAAUAUUGGUCAAUGAGCGAGAGCUUGAACCAGCCAAGUAGCGUGAAGGAAGACGGUCCUAUGGAUUGUAAACUUCUUUUGUAGAGGGGUAAAGUGCAUCACGUGUGAUGUAUUGCAAGUACUCUACGAAUAAGCAUCGGCUAACUCCGUGCCAGCAGCCGCGGUAAUACGGAAGAUGCGAGCGUUAUCCGGAUUUAUUGGGUUUAAAGGGUGCGUAAGCGGGCUGAUAAGUCAGCGGUGAAAGUUUGCAGCUUACUGUAAAAUUGCC